UGAUUAUUUUGCUGCCAGCCUUAUUGGAAACAAACGAUCAACUAGUUUCCCCUGCACAAAUUUUGGAAUUCACUAGUUCACUUAAUCUGCUUAUAUUACUAAUACAGAAUGACAAAAGUGGAUUCCUUAUCUAAUAAUUACUUACUAGUGCUUAACUAGUAGUAAGUGAAAAAGGACUGAAAUAGUUCUGCAUUCCUUGUUUGCAACCACCGGCCAACUAAGCAGAGGACAAACCGUUAGCAAAUGAAUGUAAUAAUUACUUGUUUCAAAGAUAUCUAAGCACAUGAGCAAAUACAGGAACAGGCUCCAUUCUCAACAGAAAGCAUCCUCAGUGUGUAUUAUUUCAAAGAAAGAAGCUUCUGGUUUCCUAGAAGACAAUAUUUUGGCCUGUGUUGAUUCUUAUUCUGAAUGUUUGUUUACAUAAUGUACAGUAUAUAUAUAUAUAUAUUCAGAAAGUAUUUUUGCUUCAGCGUUUCCUUUCUAUGACGUGCUUUGGUACUCCCACGGGACCUCUCCCUCCCAGGUAGAGGGGCAGCGUCCCCUCUCAGUGCUCAGUGUACAGUGUCAUAUGAGUGCAUUGUAUGGGUUUGAAACCAAAGGAUGAAUGAAGCAUUCAGAGACUUCAUAUUUGAAAAAGAGAUACUCUGUAUUUUAUAUUUUGUUAUAAGUACUGAUAUUUAUAAACUUACUAAACAAUACCAUGCUGCUGUAUAUUUUCAAAUAUAUGAUGAACGGUGAGGACUGAAAAGUUGUUUUUCAGUCACCUAAAGCAGCCGCUGUAGAAUUGUUGAGCUAAAAUUUUGCAUCUGGGUGCACCUUCAUGAAUAUGUCACUUGCAGAUCUUUUUAAAGUUAUUUGACAGUAGACAGUUUUAGCCUCCAAAGAUCUUGUGGAAGCUCGGGAUGUAGCUCAAGAUAGAGCACUUCCCUAGCAUGCUGGGACCCUGGGUUCAAUCCCUAGGACUGGAAAAAGGAAAAGGAAAAGAAAAUGAUGACCAGAGCAAAGUCAAGAGUUGAAGUUGGUUUGUGUCAAUGUUCACGGGACCAUGUUCUCUGGACCAUUGGGUUUAUAUGGUCAUGCAUGUUCAUCUUCCACACUGUUGUCAGAUGCUUAACUGUUCAGAAAUGAAGUCUAACUUCAGGUUGAACUCUCUCAUGCUUAAACUCAGGCUAAGUGUAAAUGAUAUUUGUAAAGUUUAAAUAAAACCCUGUUUACUCACUUUUGAGUUAAGUAUGAAGAAAAGCAAUUGUACGCUUAAAAUUGUUCAUUUUGUGAUAAAUGAUUGAUUCCAAGAACUUUUGUCUCUGUUUUUGAAUUGUAAUAUUUAUUACUAUAAAAGAGGAAUAAGAGAAUAA